rnacentral:lncRNA from 1 species
CUUACCAUGCAAUGCUGCCACCCCCAGAAUCGAAUCUAGAUUGUCAAGCUUUACAUCACACCACCCUUGGCUCUCACUCUAUUUUACAGAAGAGGAAAUGGAGCCUCAAGAAGUGUCCAUCAAGGUCAUGCAACUAGCUACUGGUUGGAGUGUGGAUCCGAACACCUGCUUUUUAUUUUGGAUUUUAGGCACCAAUUUUCACAGCAAGCUUAAGCAGAAUGUAAGAGAGUGUAUCUGCUCACUCUCACACAAGCUCCCACACAUGAGAGAUACAUCUGUAACAAUCAGUAAAUCCAUCAUUAAAUUAUCCCUCCUGGUCCACAGCUGUCAUGGAAUUCGCCCUUUGAGAUAAUAUUCUAUGGCUUUUGAUAAAUGCACUAUGGUGUGUGUCCACCAUUACUCAACCUUAAUAAAUAAUCUCAUCAGCCAA